AGCACACGCUUAAAACUCNNNGGACUUGACGGUGUCCCAUCCAACUAGAGGAGCCUGUUCUAUAAUCGAUAAUCCCCGAUAAACCUCACCACUUCUAGCCUAUCNNUCUGUAUACCUCCGUCAAAAGCUUACCCUGUGAACNACCAUUAGUAGGCAAUAAGGUUUAUCCACCAAAACUUCGGGUCAAGGUGCACCUUACAAAGUGGAAAGAANUGGGCUNCNAUUUCUAANCUUAAAACAAACAAAAANAUCUGCAUGAAACACAGUCGUGAAGGCGGAUUUAGUAUUAAAAAAAAAAUANAUUGUUCUUUUNAAUUGAGCACUGGGACUUGUAC
rnacentral:rRNA from 1 species